AACGAACGCUGGCGGCAGGCCUAACACAUGCCAGUCGAGCGGACCCUUCGGGGUUAGCGGCGGACGGGUGAGUAACGCGUGGGAAUAUGCCCUUCUCUACGGAAUAGUCCUGGGAAACUGGGGGUAAUACCGUAUACGCCCUUUGGGGGAAAGAUUUAUCGGGGAAGGAUUAGCCCGCGUUGGAUUAGGUAGUUGGUGGGGUAAUGGCCUACUAAGCCGACGAUCCAUAGCUGGUUUGAGAGGAUGAUCAGCCACACUGGGACUGAGACACGGCCCAGACUCCUACGGGAGGCAGCAGUGGGGAAUCUUAGACAAUGGGGGCAACCCUGAUCUAGCCAUGCCGCGUGAGUGAUGAAGGCCUUAGGGUUGUAAAGCUCUUUCAGCUGGGAAGAUAAUGACGGUACCAGCAGAAGAAGCCCCGGCUAACUCCGUG
rnacentral:rRNA from 1 species